rnacentral:rRNA from 1 species
GCAAGUCGAACGAUGAUCUCCAGCUUGCUGGGGGGAUUAGUGGCGAACGGGUGAGUAACACGUGAGUAACCUGCCCUUGACUCUGGGAUAAGCCUGGGAAACUGGGUCUAAUACCGGAUAUGACCAUCUGGCGCAUGUCAUGGUGGUGGAAAGCUUUUUUGUGGUUUUGGAUGGACUCGCGGCCUAUCAGCUUGUUGGUGGGGUAAUGGCCUACCAAGGCGACGACGGGUAGCCGGCCUGAGAGGGUGACCGGCCACACUGGGACUGAGACACGGCCCAGACUCCUACGGGAGGCAGCAGUGGGGAAUAUUGCACAAUGGGCGCAAGCCUGAUGCAGCGACGCCGCGUGAGGGAUGACGGCCUUCGGGUUGUAAACCUCUUUCAGUAGGGAAGAAGCGUAAGUGACGGUACCUGCAGAAGAAGCGCCGGCUAACUACGUGCCAGCAGCCGCGGUAAUACGUAGGGCGCAAGCGUUAUCCGGAAUUAU